GCCGCCAUCGUCUAGUCCGGCCUAGGACACGUGGUUCUCAUCCACGAAACACCGGUUCGAAUCCGGUUGGCGGUA
rnacentral:tRNA from 1 species